rnacentral:rRNA from 1 species
UCAUCACUGGCCCCUUACCGGCCAGGGAUACACACGUACUACAAUGGUAGGGACAGAGGGCUGCAAGCCGGCGACGGUAAGCCAAUCCCAGAAACCCUAUCUCAGUCCGGAUUGGAGUCUGCAACUCGACUCCAUGAAGUCGGAAUCGCUAGUAAUCGCAGAUCAGCAUUUGCUGCGGUGAAUACGUUCCCAGGGCCUUGUACACACCGCCCGUCACACCAUGGGAGUUUGUUGCACCAGAAGCAGGUAGCUUAACCUUCGGGAGGGCGCUUGCCACGGUGUGGCCGAUGACUGGGGUGAAGUCGUAAGCAAGGUAGCCGUAUCGGAAGGUGCGGCUGGAUCACCUCNUAAAUCUAGAUGCAUUCGGAAGUACGGCUGAUUC